rnacentral:rRNA from 1 species
CCGAGUUAUUCAACUCAUCAACCCUGUGAACAUACCCAAACGUUGCUUCGGCGGGAAUAGACGGCCCCGUAAAACGGGCCGCCCCCGCCAGAGGACCCUUAACUCUGUUUCUAUAAUGUUUCUUCUGAGUAAAACAAGCAAAUAAAUUAAAACUUUCAACAACGGAUCUCUUGGCUCUGGCAUCGAUGAAGAACGCAGCGAAAUGCGAUAAGUAAUGUGAAUUGCAGAAUUCAGUGAAUCAUCGAAUCUUUGAACGCACAUUGCGCCCGCCAGUAUUCUGGCGGGCAUGCCUGUUCGAGCGUCAUUACAACCCUCAGGCCCCCGGGCCUGGCGUUGGGGAUCGGCGGAGCCCCCCGUGGGCACACGCCGUCCCCCAAAUACAGUGGCGGUCCCGCCGCAGCUUCCAUCGCGUAGUAGCUAACACCUCGCGACUGGAGAGCGGCGCGGCCACGCCGUAAAACACCCAACUCAACAGGGAUUGCCCCAGUAACGGCGAGUGAAGCGGCAACAGCUCAAAUUUGAAAUCUGGCUCUCGGGCCCGAGUUGUAAUUUGUAGAGGAUGCUUUUGGUGAGGUGCCUUCCGAGUUCCCUGGAACGGGACGCCAUAGAGGGUGAGAGCCCCGUCUGGUUGGACGCCGAACCUCUGUAAAGCUCCUUCGACGAGUCGAGUAGUUUGGGAAUGCUGCUCUAAAUGGGAGGUAUAUGUCUUCUAAAGCUAAAUACCGGCCAGAGACCGAUAGCGCACAAGUAGAGUGAUCGAAAGAUGAAAAGAACUUUGAAAAGAGAGUUAAACAGUACGUGAAAUUGUUGAAAGGGAAGCGCUUGUGACCAGACUUGGGCUUGGUUGAUCAUCCGGGGUUCUCCCCGGUGCACUCUUCCGGCCCAGGCCAGCAUCAGUUCGCCCUGGGGGAUAAAGGCAUCGGGAACGUGGCUCUCUCCGGGGAGUGUUAU